rnacentral:misc_RNA from 1 species
GAAAUGCGAUAAGUAGUGUGAAUUGCAGAAUUCAGUGAAUCAUCGAAUCUUUGAACGCACAUUGUGCCCCUUGGUAUUCCAUGGGGCAUGCCUGUUCGAGCGUCAUUUGUACCUUCAAGCUUUGCUUGGUGUUGGGUGUUUGUCUCGCCUCUGCGCGCAGACUCGCCUCAAAACAAUUGGCAGCCGGCGUAUUGAUUUCGGAGCGCAGUACAUCUCGCGCUUUGCACUCAUAACGACGACGUCCAAAAAGUACAUUUUUUACACUCUUGACCUCGGAUCAGGUAGGGAUACCCGCUGAACUUAAGC